rnacentral:lncRNA from 1 species
AAUUUUUCUAUCACUUCAAGAAAUUUUCAGUUUUUCCAGCUUUUAUUCUACAAAGUCUCAAUGUGCUCUGCGAUGAACCAAAUUCAGCGUUUGUGAACAUAAAGAUCAGAAUUAAUAGACUGCAUGAGCAACACUAGGCACGGCUGCAAUCUGCUUAGGACCAGAAAACAAAGAGGUCCUGAAGAAAAUGGAAGUCUUUGCAGAGCUGAUUUUAGGGUAAACUGUACAUUUUCCCAGAUAAAUGCAAGAAAAAACAGGAAGGAAAAUGAUUUUCAGCUAAACUGAAUGCUUUUCUAGGAAGGGAGAGAUGGAAAAGUAAAGGCUUUGCACCUCCAGUACAGAAGAACAGUAUGCACUCCAUUGACAGCGUCCCCUUUUUAUUGACUUGUUUUCUUCAUUAAACUGAAAGCAGACAUGAAUUUAGCUCCAGAUAAUUCCUCUCAUUUCCUGUCGUGAUUUCCACAAUUGUCUCUUUACCAGUAAAAUAUAGCUGAUAAUAGUUUUUGGUAACAUUUAUAAAAUUCUUAGUAUAGAACGGAUGAAAAGUACUACACAUUUUCCAUUCUUCUCUAGUAAAGAGCAAAUAUAAAAAGCUAACUAAAACAAGUGUUUAAAAUAACAGCUUACAAAAACGCAUAUUAUUUUACACUCAUACUAAGCACUUGUAUAUAUUUAUGAAGAGCCAUGCUAGUUGUGGAGUUCGGUUUACUCUAAUGAUUGGUAACAUUGCAUCACUGCUCAAUGUGCAGUGAUGAAACAGCAA